rnacentral:rRNA from 1 species
GAGUAAUGUCUGGGAAACUGCCUGAUGGAGGGGGAUAACUACUGGAAACGGUAGCUAAUACCGCAUAACGUCGCAAGACCAAAGAGGGGGACCUUCGGGCCUCUUGCCAUCGGAUGUGCCCAGAUGGGAUUAGCUAGUAGGUGGGGUAACGGCUCACCUAGGCGACGAUCCCUAGCUGGUCUGAGAGGAUGACCAGCCACACUGGAACUGAGACACGGUCCAGACUCCUACGGGAGGCAGCAGUGGGGAAUAUUGCACAAUGGGCGCAAGCCUGAUGCAGCCAU